UCGGUUCGAUCGUGUAGUGACAGUGUGCAGCGGGUGUCGUAGUGUACGUGUCACGGCUGGGGAACCGGCAGUAGUAUUUACAUCUCGUAAAACCCGACCCAACGGUACACGGGUGCCACGGGUAUUCCCAAAAGCAAAACCGAAAGUUGGCAACCGUUGGGCGAUUCCGGAGGAGGAUUCUGACCGCUUCCCCGAAGGAAGGAAAGUAAUUAGCUCAAUAUUAAUAGUCAACCACUUACUAUCACUCACACAGUGGCAUCGUCUGGUUGCAGCAAUGCCUUCGCCGCACCUUUUCCACGAGUGUUUCGGCCCGUUGGGACGUUUGCCGUUUGUACUCCUCGAUGAAGGUACCGUACUCGGACCGUUUGGUGGGAUCUUCUGGGCCCCAGUCGGCCAUCGGCCGUAGGACAGCUUU